UACAGAGGGGGCAAGCGUUGUUCGGAAUUACUGGGCGUAAAGGGUCCGUAGGUGGCCCAGCAAGUCUGACGUGAAAUCCCAUGGCUCAACCGUGGAACUGCGUUGGAAACUGCAGGGCUUGAGUACCGCAGAGGUAAAGGGAAUUCCCGGUGUAAGGGUGAAAUCUGUAGAUAUCGGGAGGAACACCAGUGGCGAAGGCGCUUUACUGGGCGGUUACUGACACUGAGGGACGAAAGCAAGGGGAGCAAACAGG
rnacentral:rRNA from 1 species